UAUAAAUUGUAUUAAAAAUUUUUAUAUAAAUUAAUAAAUUUAAUUAUAGUUUUAAAGUUAAUUAAAAAAUUUGUGUAUAUAUAAAUAUUAAAAAUUUAAUAUAAAUAGAAGUAGUAUAUAAAUUUAAUAAAUUUAAAAAUAUUUAAUUUUAGGAAUUUUUAUAAUUUGGAUAAAUAAUUGUGCCAGCAAUCGUGGUUAAACAAUUUAAAUAAAUUAAUUUAAUUAAAUUAAAAUUAAAUGAAUAUUUAUAUAAUAAAAAUUUAAAUUGUUAGGUGAAAUUAAUUAAUUUUAAAUUAUUAUAUUUAAAUGUAAUUUGAGUUUUUAAAAGAUUUAAAUAAAACUAGGAUUAGAUACCCUAUUAUAUAAUUUAAAGAGUGUAAUUUUAAUAUUAAAUGAUAAAUCAUUAAAUUUAAAUAAUUUGGCGGUAUUUUAAUUUUAUUAGAGGAAUUUGUUAAUUAAUUGAUAUUACCCGAUAAGUUAAACUUUAAUUUAAUUUUUAUAUUGUUGUUUUAAGAGUAUUUUUAUAAAAAUUAUUUAAGAUUUUUUUAAAUAAAAUUAAUUCAGAUCAAAAUGGAGUAUAUAUUAAAGAGUUAAUGAGUUACAAUAAAUUUAAUUUAAAUGGAUUUAUAAUUUAAAAAUUUUAAUGAAGGUGAAUUUAAAAGUAAAAUAAAAUAAUUAUUUUAUUUGAUUAAAAUUUUAAAGUAUGUACAAAUUGCCCGUCGUUCUCUUUGAAAAAGGAGGUAAGUCGUAACAAAGUAAAAGUACUGGAAAGUGUUUUUAGAU
rnacentral:ncRNA from 1 species